rnacentral:rRNA from 1 species
CCUACGGGAGGCAGCAGUGAGGAAUAUUGGUCAAUGGACGAGAGUCUGAACCAGCCAAGUCGCGUGAAGGAUGACUGCCCUAUGGGUUGUAAACUUCUUUUAUAAGGGAAUAAAACGAGGCACGUGUGCCUUUUUGCAUGUACUUUAUGAAUAAGGAUCGGCUAACUCCGUGCCAGCAGCCGCGGUAAUACGGAGGAUCCGAGCGUUAUCCGGAUUUAUUGGGUUUAAAGGGAGCGUAGGUGGGUUUGUAAGUCAGGUGUGAAAGUUGGCGGCUAAACCGUAAAAUUGCAGUUGAUACUGGCAGUCUUGAGUACAGGAGAGGUAGGCGGAAUUCGUGGUGUAGCGGUGAAAUGCUUAGAUAUCACGAAGAACUCCGAUUGCGAAGGCAGCAUACUGGACGGUGACUGACGUUGAUGCUCGAAAGUGUGGGUAUCAAACAGGAUUAGAUACCCCAGUAGUC